rnacentral:rRNA from 1 species
UGGGGAAUUUUGGACAAUGGGGGAAACCCUGAUCCAGCCAUCCCGCGUGUGCGAUGAAGGCCUUCGGGUUGUAAAGCACUUUUGGCAGGAAAGAAACGUCGCGGGUUAAUACCCCGCGAAACUGACGGUACCUGCAGAAUAAGCACCGGCUAACUACGUGCCAGCAGCCGCGGUAAUACGUAGGGUGCAAGCGUUAAUCGGAAUUACUGGGCGUAAAGCGUGCGCAGGCGGUUCGGAAAGAAAGAUGUGAAAUCCCAGAGCUUAACUUUGGAACUGCAUUUUUAACUACCGGGCUAGGGUGUGUCAGAGGGAGGUGGAAUUCCGCGUGUAGCAGUGAAAUGCGUAGAUAUGCGGAGGAACACCGAUGGCGAAGGCAGCCUCCUGGGAUAACACUGACGCUCAUGCACGAAAGCGUGGGGAGCAAAACAGGAUUAGAUACCCUGGUAGUCCACGCCCUAAACGAUGUCAACUAGCUGUUGGGGCCUUCGGGCCUUGGUAGCGCAGCUAACGCGUGAAGUUGACCGCCUGGGGAGUACGGUCGCAAGAUUAAAACUUAAAUGAAUUGACGGGGUCAUAGCUGUUUCCUG